CUCAAAGUUUUGCUUGUCUCAGGAGUGUGGCCAGACCGCUGAAGCCCACUUGAGGGAUAUCUUUGCUUAUUAUCUUGGAGCUAACCUUGGCUCCUAACAAAGGGCUGUAGAUCUCUUAAAAUCGGCUGUGUCAAAUGAUUUCAGAAAAGUUCAGGCCAGCCUUUUUUGCUGCUUUUCCUCAGUGGGCCCAAAGUGUCUUUAUGGCUCCGUCAAAGGAUAAAUUGGCCAACUUCCCUUUUUUGCAGGUUUCAAUGAGAGCCUAGAUGCCAUCACCCCCAUUACAGACCUAACUUCACAUGAAGAUACCAAAUUUCCAGCUAGUGAGCCUCUAGUGCCUACCACUACUAUAUAAGUAUUUCAAGGCUAGACAAAGCAUCAACAUCUGUAGCUUCCCUGGGAUCCACAAAGAGGGGAACUUCCACAGAACCUGGAGCCUUUCUCACUGAACUUCACCAUCACCAAACUACUUCACAUAGAAAACAUGGGGCAAAACGUGGAUCCCACAAAUACAACACAGAAAGUCCCACAGAACUUGGAUAAGAAACAUGCUACCUCUCCAAAUCCAGAAAGUGAACUGUUUGGAGAAGGCACUACGAAGAUGCCUCCACAGACCACACACUGAACCAGAAGAUCCAGAGUGAACUUUGGGAUGUGGUGAUUUGAACUGUUUGGGGUUGAAUGCAUUUGUUUUGUAUGUAUACUCUUAUGCCGAAGGGGACUGCCCCCUAACUGGCUUUUUGUCAAUGCGCCUAGCAAUUAUUGGUUUUGUUCUCUUUUCCUCUAAUCCUCAAAUUAUUGUAAUUUAAAAGUUGAUUAUAUUUACAAGAUCCAUUGGAGAGACUAGUCUUCCUUGGAUUUCAGGGGGAGAAAGUAUAAUUGAAAAUCUGUUACCCUAAAAAAACUACAUUUCCCAGGAGCCCAUCUGUCAUUGCAUACUUCCUGUAGACAGAGGAUAUUAGCAACUGGGCGGUGCUCUUGGGUCUCUUUCUUGGACUUGAAGCCAGCAUGGUGGCAGUGGUAAGCUAAGCUUGGGGAUUUUGAAAUGGCUAAUCAGCCAUGGGCAUGUGGUCUUUAUUUUGUAUUCUCUUUAUUCCUUAAUUUCUAAUGAUCAUUUAGUAAAUAUCCUAAAAAUAAAAUACUUUUAUUAUUGAG
rnacentral:lncRNA from 1 species